UACGAAGGGGGCUAGCGUUGUUCGGAAUCACUGGGCGUAAAGCGCACGUAGGCGGAUCCUUAAGUCAGGGUGAAAUGCCGAGGCUCAACCUCGGAACUGCCUUUGAUACUGGGGAUCUCGAGUCCGGGAGAGGUGAGUGGAAUUGCGAGUGUAGAGGUGAAAUUCGUAGAUAUUCGCAAGAACACCAGUGGCGAAGGCGGCUCACUGGCCCGGUACUGACGCUGAGGUGCGAAAGCGUGGGAGCAACAGGAU
rnacentral:rRNA from 1 species